GAGUUUGAUCCUGGCUCAGAAUGAACGCUGGCGGCGCGCCUAAUACAUGCAAGUCGAGCGAGAAGACGUAGCAAUACGUUUGUAAAGCGGCGAACGGGUGAGGAAUACAUGGGUAACCUACCCUCGAGUGGGGAAUAACUAGCCGAAAGGUUAGCUAAUACCGCGUACGCUUCUUGGACUUCGGUUCAGGGAGGAAAGCGAUACCGUGGGUAUCGCGCUCUUGGAUGGGCUCAUGUCCUAUCAGCUUGUUGGUGAGGUAAUGGCUCACCAAGGCUUCGACGGGUAGCUGGUCUGAGAGGACGAUCAGCCACACUGGCACUGCGACACGGGCCAGAUUCCUACGGGAGGCAGCAGUAAGGAAUAUUGCGCAAUGGGCGAAAGCCUGACGCAGCGACGCCGCGUGCACGAUGAAGGCCUUCGGGUCGUAAAGUGCUUUUAGCAGGGAACAAUUUUUGAGCUUACCUGCAGAAUAAGAGGUUGCUAACUCUGUGCCAGUAGCAGCGGUAAUACAGAGACCUCAAGCGUUAUCCGGAAUCAUUGGGCGUAAAGCGUGCCGAUAGGUGGUUUUAUUAGUCUUGGGUAAAAGCCAGAAGCUUAACUUCUGAGUUUGCUUAAGAUACUGUAAGACUAGAGGGGCAAAGAGGUGCUUGGAACGAAUGGUGUAGUAGUGAAAUGCGUUGAUAUCAUUCGGAACACCGAAAGCGAAGGCAGAGCACUGGGUGCCACCUGACACUGCUAGGACGAAAGCGUGGGGAGCGAAUGGGAUUAGAUACCCCAGUAGUCCACGCUGUAAACGAUGAAUACUAGGCAUGCGCGAGUAUCGACCCUCGUGCGAGCCGUAGCUAACGCGUUAAGUAUUCCGCCUGGGGAGUACGGUCGCAAGACUAAAACUCAAAGGAAUUGACGGGGACCCGCACAAGCGGUGGAGCAUGUGGUUUAAUUCGACGGUAAGCGAGGAACCUUACCAGGGUUUGACAUUGCACUGCAAGCGCACGGAAACGUGUGAUCUUCGAGAGUGUGCAACAGGUACUGCACGGUUGUCGUCAGCUCGUGUCGUGAGAUGUUCCCUUAAGUGGGAGAACGAGCGCAACCCCCGUAGUAUGUUGAUUUUCAUACUAGACUGCCGGCGUUUAAGCUGGAGGAAGGUGGGGAUGACGUCAAAUCAGCGUGGUCUUUACGCCCUGGGCCACACACGUGCUACAAUGCAUAGGAACAAAGGGACGCAAUACCGUAAGGUGGAGCAAAUCCUCUCAAAAACUAUGCUCAGUUCGGAUUGAGGGCUGCAACUCGCCCUCAUGAAGCUAGAAUCGCUAGUAACCGUGAAUCAGCCUCGUCACGGUGAUACGUUCUCGGGUUUUGCACACAC
rnacentral:rRNA from 1 species